AUACGUAGGGUGCGAGCGUUGUCCGGAAUUACUGGGCGUAAAGAGCUCGUAGGUGGUUUGUCGCGUCGUCUGUGAAAUUCCGGGGCUUAACUCCGGGCGUGCAGGCGAUACGGGCAUAACUUGAGUACUGUAGGGGAGACUGGAAUUCCUGGUGUAGCGGUGAAAUGCGGAGAUAUCAGGAGGAACACUGGUGGCAAAGGCGGGUCGCUGGGCAGUAACGGACGCUGAGGAGCGAAAGCAUGGGUAGCGAACAGGAUUAGAUACCCGGGUAGUCCAUGCCGUAAACGGUGGGCGCUAGGUGUAGGGGUCUUCCACGACUUCUGUGCCGUAGCUAACGCAUUAAGCGCCCCGCCUGGGGAGUACGGCCGCAAGGCUAAAACUCAAAGGAAUGGACGGGG
rnacentral:rRNA from 1 species